rnacentral:rRNA from 1 species
AAGGACACACAAGGAGUGGAGCCUGUGGCCUAAUUUGACUCAACAGGGGAAACCUUACUCGGCCAGGACACUUUUAGGAUUGACAGAUUGAGAGCUCUUUCUUGGUUAGGUGGGGGGUGGUGCAUGGUCCUGUGUGAAAUUGGGAGCGAUUUGUCUGAUUAAUUUCAAUAACGAACGGAACUCCGGCUUACUAAAUAGUCUAAGCCUCGCAGGGACUUUUCAAGGCUUCUUUGCAGGAUAAGUGGCACUUUUUAAGCCACACGAAAUGGAGCAAUGACAGGUCUGUGAUGCCCUUAGAUGUCCGAGGCUGCGCGCGCGCUACACUGGAGAGUUCAGAAUGUUUCUUCCUACUUCGACACGAGUGGGUAACCGUGAUAUUCUCGUCGUGACUGGGAUCAGAGCUUGCAAUUAUUCUCCGUCAACUAGGAAUUCCUAGUAAGCACUAUUUCAUCAAAAUGUGCUGAUUAUGUCCCUGUCCUUUGUACACGCAGCCCGUAGCUACUACCGAUUGAAUGUUUU